CUCCAAAUACAAACAUAUGUCAAAAUCAUACAAAUUGGUCUAGUGGGUCAAAAGAUAGAUCGAAUGCCUUUGUGACCAAAUGAAGCAUGGCUUUUCUGCCCAAAACCAGUUCCACAGAGUCUUCUAUCCUGGAGAUAAUUGGGAGGUAAUCCAAUUAUCUCCAAGGACAGAGGCAAAACUCAAUUGAACACAUGGUAGCAAAAGACAAUAAAAUACAUAAAAAUAUAUAACUGUGCAGCCAUUGCAUAAAACAGGUACAUUCAACAUAUCCCCAGAUAAUUUAGCUUUGAGCGCACAUUAUUACUGAAUGGCGCUCAGAUCACAUACAUACAGUUCAAUUGCCAUGGAGCCAAAGUCUUUCACAAAGUCUUUCAUUAUACGAAUGGGCUCCAUGGCAUAGCUAUCUGGGGUAUCACCGCUCAAACAGGGCAAGCACCGAAUGACCCGUCUUUCUUGUCUUUGCAGGAGAAAUCAAGCGUUUCAGCAUGGGGCUAUAGUCUAAAGGCAGCAGGCGGGCAACCAGGCUCCUCCAAUGCACAGUGGCGAUAUUGGUCUCGUCACAUUUCUCCCCUUUUCCAAACAGACUAACAGGAUAUCUGAACUCCUGCCAGUCAGUGUCCUGGUUAGUCCAGCAGCUCACCCACAAAACACAAUUAGCAGUACAGCCCAUCCACAAUAACUGGUUACUACACUUGGCUAGAGGAGAAACUUGUCCAUGUCUAGGUGCCUCACCACGGCUGUGCGGGGUACUGGUAGGCUGCCUUGGUGGGUUGCUGAGUGGGCAGAGAUCAGCAGUACUCUGCCCUGGUGCCAGCCCUACCACGGAAGUAGCCUGGUUGGAGCCUGGUUGUUGGAGGGGGAGACCAACUGUCUCCCCUUUGGCUAAACAGCCCUGUUGCUGGGGGACAGGACCGACCGUCUCUGCCCCCGGUAGCUCAGCCUGCCGCUGGGGAAUGGAGACUGGGCUGUCACACAGGGUCACACAAGGGUCCUUCAAAUAAAAAAUACUUUAAGACCACUGGGAACGGUCUAAAGUAACUUGACUAUAGCAUCGAUCUAUAAGAAAAAUUAGAGAGCCAUAGUAUAUAACAAUGUAUGAAACAUACAAGAAUAAAAACACUCACAUUUGCAUAGUAAAUACGAGCAUAUAGUAUAAUGGCAGGAAGAAAAUCUUGCAAUGUAGUGAUGUAGGGAUUCCCUCACUUCCUAGCUCCAGCCAACUGGGAGGUAAGUCAGGAUGUAGAUCCUGGUCGGAGCGCCACGUGAGUUCCAUUGAUCUUUCCUCCUGCAUUCCACUAUAAGCCGGUAUUACAGCAAACUUUGUGACAGAUGCAGAAAAGCCUUACACGUUUCGUGAACUCUGGUUCACUUCAUUCGAGGCUGGCAUCUGCAUUAAACGGACACUAUAGUCACCCAGACCACUUCAGCUCAGUGAAGUGGUCUGGGUGCCAGGUCCCUCAGGUUUUAACCCUCAGAUGCAAACAUAGCAUUUUCAGAGAAACUGCUAUGUUUACAUUUGGGGUUAAUCCAGCCUAAUCCAUGCGCAUUCCGUUCCACUAGGGAGCUGAAGUCAGACGGGGAGGAGAAGUCAUCAGCACCGAGGGACCACGGCGCUGGAUAAAGUUAAGCUGCUGAAGGGGUUUUAACCUAUUAUUUUGGGUAUUACUCUUGGUCGCCUAAC
rnacentral:lncRNA from 1 species